AGUGAACGCUGGCGGUAGGCCUAACACAUGCAAGUCGAACGGCAGCACAGUAAGAGCUUGCUCUUACGGGUGGCGAGUGGCGGACGGGUAAGGAAUACAUCGGAAUCUACUUUUUCGUGGGGGAUACGUAGGGAAACUUACGCUAAUACCGCAUACGACCUACGGGUGAAAGCAGGGGAACUUUGGACCUUGCGCGAUUGAAUGAGCCGAUGUCGGAUUAGCUAGUUGGCGGGGUAAAGGCCCACCAAGGCGACGAUCCGUAGCUGGUCUGAGAGGAUGAUCAGCCACACUGGAACUGAGACACGGUCCAGACUCCUACGGGAGGCAGCAGUGGGGAAUAUUGGACAAUGGGCGCAAGCCUGAUCCAGCCAUACCGCGUGGGUGAAGAAGGCCUUCGGGUUGUAAAGCCCUUUUGUUGGGAAAGAAAAGCAGCAGGUUAAUACCCCGCUGUUCUGACGGUACCCAAAGAAUAAGCACCGGCUAACUUCGUG
rnacentral:rRNA from 1 species